AAAGUCACCUUUUAGUGAAUAAAAACAGUGAGGAUAUCCCAGCUUGCACGUCCCCUUCUCUAAGGCCUGUGUAAUAGUUGAUGGACGAAGAGGCAAGACUGGAGGCAGGCAAAGUUCCAGAUGAAGCUACACUGUCAGCCUGAGCCCCGGAGUGAAGAUGAUUGACACGGAGCGGAGCCUCAGCUGAACCACGAUAGACGUGUACAAUGAACCAGAGGGGAAACCAACAGCGUGGGAUCAGGAAAAAAUGGACAGUAAGAGAAAGAAGUAAAGAGAGAAGGCCCCAGAAGUGAUGUUGUAAAAGCUCCAACCCGAGGCCUCUCAUGCUGGGAAUCCUGAUGGAGAAAGAAAAUCCAGGUGGAGAGAGGCCCCAGCUGUCUCUGCCUUCCCAAACAUCUCAAUAGAGGCCCAGACCUGUGGGUGAACCCAGACGAGAGCAGGUAGGCCCAGCCCGAAUUACCAAGUCAUAGCAUAGUGAGUUAAAUAAUGGUUUUUGUUUUAAGCCUCUACCUUUUAGUGGGUUUUAUUUUCCAGCCAUAGAUAACAGACACAAAUAGGAACAAGGUCACGAGCUGAGUGUGGAAAGGGGAGGAUGUCUGGAGUUUGAAGAAAAGCAUGAAAUGGAGAUGGUUUGAGAUGGUAUAUGUGUGAGCGUCUUAGGGAAAUACAGCAGGGCUGAUGGAGACCGAUAGGAAUUCAUCUCAGCUGAAUGAACUUAAAGUAGUUUAAAGUAAGGCCAGUCAGAAUGGUUGUAUUGUCUCCAGUAACCUUCCACCUGUGCAGGCAAUGAGUAAGCGCAGUUGGAUUUACCCAGGUUGGAGUGGCGUUUUGGCAGCUUCCUUUUUCAACUGCCAUGUGGACCUCAAGUUCUGGCAUCGGACAUGAAGAUAACAGCCUUACAGACAUUCUCGGGUUUCAAUUCAUUUUUGGCUAACGACCACAGGAAGAGCAGAGCAUAAUGUGUCUUUCUUGUUUAUUUGACGUGACUUGUGACGGGAGCAUAUGGCUGGAUUCGGGGCCGAUCCUUGGUCAGUAUCAUCCCAUAUGGGCAUACUGCUUAUGACCAGUGAAGUCCUGAUUGGCUGGCAGAUCCAUUCCGAUGGGUCAGUUCCUGUACUGUACCAGUGAUCAAAUAUUUGGAAUAUCAUCCCUAGCUGGAUUUCAUGUAUUAAUGCAAUAUGACAACUUUUGACAUUUAACUAGAGAGCUGGCGUCCAAAUGUCAGUCCAUUUAUGUUUGUUCUGAUUAAUGACUUGAUUUCUUUCCGCCGUUUUGUUGUGUGGUUUCUGUUGAUCUCAAUCUUCUUUUUUCUUCCUUUAUUUUUGCCCAGUUGAUUUUUUCCCCCUUAAUCUCAUUCCACAUUUUUGCUGCUGCUUGUUAGGAACUUAUAUAUUUUAUGUCUAUUUUAAGUUUGUUUUCCAUAAUUAUUUUAACGUGCAUCUUUAACAAAACCUAAUUUAAUCAAUGUUUACCUUCCUCCUAAAUCAAGGGCCCUAAAAGGCUCUGUCUCCCCUUCCCUACACUGCACUAUUUCCCCCAAUAUUUUAGUUCUAUCCUGACCCACUCCCCUAGAAUUGGAUAUUAUUAUUAUUGCUUUAUACGGCCAAUAGUAGUUUAGCUUACUGUAUAUUUACCAAUUUUUUUUUGCUUAUCAUUCCUCUCUACACUUGAAAUGUUCCCUCUGGGAUCAUUUUCCUUCUUCAUGAAGAAAUUCUUUCAGUUAGAAUCUGUUGGUGAUAAACUCUCAGUUUUUAUUUAUCUGAAAAUGUCUUUGUUUUCAUGCUCAAGGAUUAAUUUCAUUGGUUAUGGAAUUCUAGGUUGACACUUUUUAUAUUAGCACAUUAAGAUAAAAUUUUCCUGCUUUAUGUCUUUUAUUAUUUUAGAUAAGUCAGCCAUCAGUCUAUGGUAUUAUUUAGAAGAUGGCCUUUUUUUCCCUAUCUGACCACUUUUAAGAUCUUUUCUUUUUUCUUUAUUGCUCUUCAGUUUCACUAUUGUGUAUCCAGGUAUAGAUUCCAUUUUAAUUUACUGUUUUUGGCAUUUAUUCUUAACAUGAGGAUUUGUAUUUAUAAAGAGUCCUAUAAAAUUAUCAGCCAACAUCUUUAUAUAUUGACUUUUUUUCAAUAUCUAUUUACUUUUUUUGAAACUCCAGUUAAAUGAAGUUUAGAAUGUUCUAGUUUAUUCAUCCUGUCUCUUAAUAUCUUUUGCGUUUUCUCUAUCCUGUCUUUGAGCUAAUUUCUGUGUUAUAGCUUCAGAUUUCUUUUCUAGUUCACUGUGGUCUUCUUAAUGUGUCUAAUUUGUUUAAUCCAUUCAUUGAGCUUUAAAUUUUAAUAUCUUUUAUUUCUAGGGUUCUUUUUUGUUUCUCUAAAAAUCUGCUUGGGUAUUCUUUAUGGUCUCUUAUUCCUUUUGCAUGUCAACAGGAUCUUUUGUAUUUUUUUUUAACAUAUUAAAUAUGGUUUUAUUUAUUUUUAAAAACUUUAAUUUUAUUUUUUUUAGUGAGGAAGAUUGGCCCUGAGCUAACAUCUGUGCAAAUCUUCCUCUAUUUUGUAUGUGGGAUGCCACCACAACACAGCUUGAUGAACAGUAUGUAGGUCCGCGCCCAGGAUCUAAAGCUGUGAACCCUGGGCCGCCAAAGCAGAGUGGGCGAACUUAACCACUACGCCACUGGGCCAGGCCCUAAAUAUGGUUUUAUGUUCUGAGAUUUUUGCUGGUCUGAUUUUUGCUGAUUGUUUCAGUAGACUGUUCUGGUGCUUCAUUUCCUUAUUUAUGUUGUGACUUUUGUCUGUGAGCUGCUUAUUUUUCUCGGAUGUUUCUGGAAUAAUGCUUUGAGGCAUGGGGCUGAGAUUCAGUGCUCCAGAGAGAAUUUGCAUUUACUCCUGUCAGUCAAUUGGAGCCAUUACCUACCUGUGAUCACUUUCAGCUAAACUCUCUGAAAUAUUUUGGACUACACAAAUAGAAUGAAUUUAAGCUGCCAACCAUUGUGAAGACCAAUACACCUCAAAGGAGAUUUAUUCUCCUUUUACUCAAUGAAAUAGCAUAUUUCCUCUGAUACCUUGUGGUAGCCUGAAUAAUUCCCCUCUUCCCCCAAAUGUCCAUGUUGUGAUUCCUGGGACCUUUUAAUGUCAGCUUGUGUGGCAGAAGGGGCUUCGUGGAUGUGAUCUUGUUAAGGAUAUUUAGAUGAGGAGAUUAUGCUGGGUUAUCCGGGUGACUCCAGUGUCAUCACAAAGGUCUUUACAAGAGGGACAC
ensembl:lncRNA